rnacentral:lncRNA from 1 species
CGUCUUCAGCCCGCCUUUUAUGCAGACCUUGUUCUUCCGGAUCGAGUCCAUCACCUCCGGCGGGAUGCGGCUCAUGUCGCCGUGGACGUCAUACCGCUCGAAGAACACCGGCGCGUGCAUCGCCUCCAUGACCUGCUCGACGGCGUUGGUGACGAGAGGGCCGAUCCCGUCGCCGGGGAUGAGAGUCACGCAGCGGGGGGUUCCAUCGCCGGGGCGGGGCAUGUAGGUGACGGAUCGGGUGUUCGGGUCGGGUUUGGGGUGGAAGGAUCCGAGAGUGGGGCGGUGGGAGAGCUGCUUGAGGAUGGGGAGGGCUCGGCGGGCCAUCGGGCUAGGGUUUGGGGUUUUCCGAGUCCGACGGGGAGGUGUCCUUUGGGG